UCCGGGAUCGUCUAAUGGUAGGACGCUACGCUCUGGACGUAGAAAUUGGGGUUCGAAUCCCUGUCCCGGAA
rnacentral:tRNA from 1 species